rnacentral:rRNA from 1 species
GGAAUUGACGGGGCCGCACAAGCGGAGGAACAUGUGGUUAAUCGAUGAUACGCGAGGAACCUUACCUGGGCUUAAAUGUAGAGUGCAUUUUUAGAGAUAGAAAUUCCCUUCGGGGCUUUCUGCAAGGUGCUGCAUGGUUGUCGUCAGCUCGUGCCGUGAGGUGUCGGGUUAAGUCCCAUAACGAGCGCAACCCUUAUCGUUAGUUGCCAGCUGGUAAAGCAGGGGACUCUAGCGAAACUGCCACCGUAAGGUGAGAGGAAGGUGGGAUGACGUCAAAUCAGCACGGCCCUUAUGUCCAGGGCUACACACGUGUUACAAUGGCCGGCACAGAGGGCAGCUACCUGGUGACAGGAUGCUAAUCUCGAAAACCGGUCUCAGUUCGGAUCGAAGUCUGCAACUCGACUUCGUGAAGCUGGAUUCGCUAGUAAUCGCGCAUCAGCCAUGGCGCGGUGAAUACGUUCCCGGGCCUU